CUAACAUGCAGUCGAGCGGUAAGGCCCCUUUUGGGGGGUACACGAGCGGCGAACGGCCCNUUUNAACACGUGGGUGACCUGCCUUCAGCUCUGGGAUAAGCCUNUNGAAACUGGGUCUAAUACCGGAUAUGACCUUGGGACGCAUGUUUUGGGGUGGAAAGUUUUUUCGGCUGGAGAUGGGCCCGCGGCCUAUCAGCUUGUUGGUGGGGUGAUGGCCUACCAAGGCGACGACGGGUAGCCGGCCUGAGAGGGCGACCGGCCACACUGGGACUGAGACACGGCCCAGACUCCUACGGGAGGCAGCAGUGGGGAAUAUUGCGCAAUGGGCGGAAGCCUGACGCAGCGACGCCGCGUGGGGGAUGACGGCCUUCGGGUUGUAAACCUCUUUCGCCAUCGACGAAGCUUCUGGUUUUUGCUGGGGGUGACGGUAGGUGGAGAAGAAGCACCGGCCAACUACGUGCCAGCAGCCGCGGUAACACGUAGGGUGCGAGCGUUGUCCGGAAUUAUUGGGCGUAAAGAGCUCGUAGGCGGUGUGUCGCGUCGGCCGUGAAAACUUUCAGCUUAACUGGGAGCGUGCGGUCGAUACGGGCAUCACUUGAGUUCGGCAGGGNAGACUUGNAAUUCCUGGUGUAGCGGGUGAAAUGCGCAGAUAUCAGGAGGGAACACCCGGUGGCG
rnacentral:rRNA from 1 species